rnacentral:rRNA from 1 species
CCUACGUGGGGCAGCAGUGGGGAAUAUUGCGCAAUGGGCGAAAGCCUGACGCAGCGACGCCGCGUGUGGGAUGAAGGUCUUCGGAUUGUAAACCACUGUCGGGAGGGACGAAGCUCUGACGGUACCUCCAAAGGAAGCACCGGCUAACUCUGUGCCAGCAGCCGCGGUAAUACAGAGGGUGCGAGCGUUGUCCGGAAUCACUGGGCGUAAAGGGCGCGUAGGCGGCUUGAUAAGUAGGGGGUGAAAUCUCAUGGCUCAACUGUGAGGCUGCCUUCUAGACUGUCUGGCUUGAGCACAGUAGAGGCGAGUGGAAUUCCCGGUGUAGCGGUGGAAUGCGUAGAGAUCGGGAAGAACAUCGGUGGCGAAGGCGGCUCGCUGGGCUGUUGCUGACGCUGAUGCGCGAAAGCGUGGGGAGCAAACAGGAUUAGAUACCCUUGUAGUC